rnacentral:lncRNA from 1 species
CUGUAUUCUCCCAGCAAACACUGGGGCCAUGGCGUCUCUCCUCUAAUGACACCUCAUCAAUCCGCUCCUAUCAAUGUCCCAGCCAUGGAGGUGACUUCGAGUGCUCAGAAGCCUUAGAAAAUGUCAACGUUUUGGGAGAAAAGAUUGUGCCUCCAUUGUUUGGACCACUGUCAUGGCG